AAACAUGGCUCUCUGUAUAUUGAAGAUAGAGAGUCGGACCUGCCCGGUGAAUUUUUUAACGGCCGCGGUACUCUGACCGUGCAAAGGUAGCAUAAUCAUUUGCCUUAUAAUUGAAGGCUAGAAUGAAUGGUUUGACAAGAAUACAACUGUCUCUUUACAAUUACAUAAAAUUUUAUCUGCAGUUGAAGAAGCCUGCAUUUGAAUAAAAGACAAGAAGACCCUAUCGAGCUUAAAAAAAACUGGUGGAAUAACAAACUUAAUCCUAACUUAUAAAUAAAUAAAUAGUCAACUACUGGAAAUUUUGGUUGGGGCGACCGGGGAACAAAAAAAACUUCCUUUAUAAAAAUUUAGAUGCCCAAAUAUUGAUCCAGCAUUAUAUGAUUAAAGAAAUUAGUUACUAUAGGGAUAACAGCAUUAUCUUUUUUAAGAGUUCUUAUCGAAAAAUUGUUUGUGACCUCGAUGUUGGACCAGAAUAUCCUAAAGAUGCAGCCGUCUUAA
rnacentral:rRNA from 1 species